rnacentral:rRNA from 1 species
GAGUACGACCGCAAGCUUGAAACUCAAAGGAAUUGACGGGGGCCCGCACAAGCGGUGGAGCAUGUGGUUUAAUUCGAAGCAACGCGAAGAUCCUUACCAGCUCUUGACAUCCCGAUGCUAUUCUUAGAGAUAGGAAGUUACUUCGGUACAUCGGAGACAGGUGGUGCAUGGUUGUCGUCAGCUCGUGUCGUGAGAUGUUGGGUUAAGUCCCGCAACGAGCGCAACCCUUAUUGUUAGUUGCCAUCAUUAAGUUGGGCACUCUAGCGAGACUGCCGGUAAUAAACCGGAGGAAGGUGGGGAUGACGUCAAAGCAUCAUGCCCCUUAUGACCUGGGCUACACACGUGCUACAAAGGUCGGUACAACGAGUUGCGAGCCCGUGACGGC